UUCAAAGCAGUAUAGAUUUAAGAAAAAGUUUAGAAUAAAAACAUUUUUUCAUUUUUUUUAUCUUAGGAGUUGUCAAUAGUUCACAUAAACAAUCUCAAAGAGUAGAGACUCCUCUGUUAUUGUUGUUCUAAGUAAUCCAAAUUUCAGGACAUUCAUUUGCUGAACUCAAAGACUAUUCUCUUUUCAAAGGUAUAUUAAUCUGUGUUUUUUAUUUUAAAGAACUCAAAGUUGAUGCUCUUUACAAAGAUCAAACUGAUGAAGGUCAAACUUUUGAUAAAGUUGGUAUUUAUUUCAAAAACCUUUCCUUCUCACACAGUCAACAUUAUGUUGCAUGUUUAAGAACCAGAUUGUUUAAUAGCUUAUUUUUUAAAAUUGAUGAAAACUCAUU
rnacentral:lncRNA from 1 species